rnacentral:lncRNA from 1 species
GUAAAUUGAAAGGGUCUGUCUAGUUUACAUUUGUAGGUACUCAGUAGUACUUGUCAAGCAAAUGACUCCCUCCAAAAGCCAACUUUUGCAUAUUAGCUAUAAAGUUUUGCAGUUUUUGCCACACAUCAACUGCCUAACUUUGAAUUUUUCUUACAAAAUCUCAAAUUCAACAUGAAAAUGUUUCCGAACUUGGAAUUGUAUUCCCUCUCUUUCUCCUUGGCUAAAUGUGACUGCCUUCUUUUGUGUAGGACCUUGCAACACCUCCUUGCUUUCUCAGGAAGCUAAACUGCAAAGAAGAAAAACCUCACUCUUAAGGACAGUUUUUUUUGACCUGGGGAAUGAGGUGGAAAAGUCAAGCUAAGAAAAGCUGAGGCACUUUCCGAUCUCUGUCUUAUCAUGUGUCUCAGAAAAUAAACACGAGGACAUGCUCAUGGGAAGCUGAUAAUAUUAAACAUGUUAAGUCCUUAUAGGCAUGACGAAGUCAUGGACAUUUCAGUGAGUGGACACAAGGCUAUUCUCAUAAAGAAGCCAUGUGAACAAUGAGCUUUGUUUGAACUCUCAGGGACAGGGGGCUUAUUGAAUUUCUGGUUAGAGUGAGAGUGACCUCUGUGUAGGAACUCCCAGUUACCUUCUCCCUGUGGCUACUUCCUGCUGUCCCAUGAUGGGCUCUGCUCUGGUCUCCUCCCCUCAUUUGUCUUGAGCUCAUCUCUCCAUGGACCUUCAAGGAUUUUAACCCAAAUUUCUAAAGUUUCUCUAGUCUAGAUCAACUUCCUACAUUCACUCUUGGACACCUUCAGUUCAUUUACCAUGCUGCCACUGGAGAUCCUGCUGAAAGGCAAUUUUGAACAUGUUUCUCCCUUUAUCAAAAUCACUGUUAGGGUGGUAAAACAACUCUUUAUGAUACUACAAUGAUAGAUAUAUGUCCUCUGCAUAGAAUGUACAAAACGCAUAGAACAUACGACACCAAGAGUGAGCCCUAAUGGAAACUAUGGGUAUUGGGUGACGAUGAUGUGUCAAUGCUGGUUCAUUGACUGUGUAACAAAUGUUCCACUCUGGUGCAGGAUGUCAAUGGUCAAGAAGGCUAAUGGAGGACAUUAGGGGGUAUAUGAAAACUCUCUGUACUUUCUGCUGUCAUUUGUUGUGAACCUAGAACUGCUUUAAAAAAAUGAAAGCUACUAAAAAGCUACUAACACUCAAUGACUUCCCAUUGCAUUAGACAUAAAUGCAUUACUGUUGUUAGCACCACAGUGGGCAAGAUACUGAGCCCCUAGACAUGCUGCUUCCUUUGCUUGGUAUGUUUUCUUCUCUCCUCCCGCUGCCAUCUGUAAUUCUUACUCAGCUCAGCAUACACCAACACAAGAAAGCUUUCUUUGACUCCCCAGACUGAGCCAGGAUAGGUCCCUUUGAUAAAGGCUUCAGAGCCAAUUAAACUAUACAUUGUGUAAUGAAUUGUUGAAUGUCUGUCUUCCAUCAGAAGGGAGAGUCCAUCAGAGCAGGACAAUAUCUGACCUAUUUAUGGCUGUGUCCCCAGCAUUUAAUGCAGAGGCACUCAAUACAUAUUUGAGGAAUACCUGAAUGAAGCAAUUUAAUAUUUACAAAAAGUGGCCACAUUCAUUUUCUGUUUAAUCUGCUCGUAUUUGGAAGAUAGGCAUAUUUACUUCAUUUUAUAAAUAAAAAACCCCUGAGACUUAGAAAAGUUAGAUGACUCUGUAACAGGUGGUCGAGCUAGGAUUAGGAUUUGUAUAUUUUAAAUUUAAGUCGAACAUUCUUUCCACUACCCUGGACAGUGCCAAUCUCCAACAUUUAAAAUGUAUCAGUCACUUAAAUGUAUUAUGCACAUUUCUUCUAACUGAAGCAUUUGUGGGUGGUCAGAGAUUUUACUUAUAUUUAUUAGCUAACACAUCAUGAUUUUAGCAAGGUCUCCACCUCCUCCAUGCAAGCUUCAACCACUUCAUUCUUAGCUAUAUGCCUAGAAACACACAGAAUUGCAUGCAGAGUGUAUAUGUGCAUGAGUGAAUACACAUGGUAUAUUGGCUAUAUGGUUUAUAAUAUACAAACGUAUUCUAAACAUCCUGUGUAUAUCCUAUAGAUUAACAUUUGCCCUGCAGACCUCGUUAAGUAUACUCAGCAUAGCAGAGGGCUUCUUUUUUAUAAGAUAAAAAAUGAUAUUCUGAGUAUGUUUAGACAUACUGGAGAAGGAGGGAAUGUCUGGAACCCUAGUCCCACCCACGAGGGUUCAAGAAGAGGCCAGAGCAAUAGGAGCUUUGCCAUGGGCCCCUUUAUGGAGAUUGCAACAAUGAAAGACUAUCGAAAGUGAAGAUAAUGAACUCUUAGAUUUAAAAAUAAGCUAGUACUGGAGAUGAGUUAGUUAUUUAUUCCAAAGAGGACACGCAAACCAAAGAAGAUAUUCCUCCAUGCCGUGCAAAAAAAGACAAUGCAUAGGCAAAUAUUCUAAAACAAAUAAACUUUGAGGAUAAACAAAUAUUAAAUCAUUUAAAAAUCUGUUAGGGAACCUUUUAUGAGUCAAGUUCCGUGCUCAAUGUCAUGAGUAAAGUAUGAGUCAUUAAAGUCAUUUCCACUCAAGAAUUUAAUAUACAUAUUGCUGUUUCACUAAUUUUGCGUGUUAUUACAAGUGCCUGAAUUCAGAAAACAUUUUCUCAUGCUGAGAAGAGCGCUUAUUGUUCAUAAUGUAAAUUUAACCAGUGCCUGAAAUCCAAAUAUUCCUUAGUUCAGAUAUUACCAAGUAUUCAGACCAUAGCAUCCAAGUUGCAAAAAAGAAAAACAAACAACUGAUAGCUCAUCAAAAUAGCUGCAUUAAUUGUGCAUUUCAAUAUAACCUUGAAAUAUAUAAUGUCACAAGUGGUUUUUUUGGUAGCUGAAGAUGGUAGCAAAAAUGUUUUUAGCACACAUCUUUUAAAUAUAUAUUUUAAAUUAAAAAGUACUCUGUUUUCUUUCCUUCUUUCUUUUCUUUUUUUUUUUUUUUGAGACAGAGUCUUUCUCCGUCACCCAGGCUGUAGUGCAAUGGCACCAUCUCAGCUCACUGCAACCUCUGCCUCUCAGGUUCAAGCGAUUCUCCUGCCUCAGCCUCCCUAAUAGCUGGGAUUACAGGCAUCUGCCACCACACCCAGCUAAGUUUUGUAUUUUUAGUAGAGAUGGGGUUUUGCCAUGUUGGCGAGGCUGGUCUUGACCUCCUGACCUCAGGGGAUCCACCCGCCUUGGCCUCCCAAAGUGCUGGGAUUACUGGUGUGAGCCACCACUGCACCUGGCCAAAAAGUACUCCAUUUUCUAAUGCAAUUAUCCUUUAGGGUACACUCGGGAUGUAUAAGAACCUUCCCCUACCUGGUCUUCUAGAAGGGCCAGCCUCCAGAGGCUGCUGUGGUCAUUGCCCUUUUGCUGCUAAUAAGUGUAGCCUCAGGUCUGGGGCAAGGAAAGUACCAGACAAACCUGAACAUUUUGAGGUGCCAGAAAGUAAGGAAGAUCUCAAAAAAAUGAUGGGAACAUAUCAAAGCCACCAUGCCACCUUCCACCAUGAUUUUGAGGCCUCCCCAGACACGUGGACCUAGCAACACAUGUUCUAACAUGUGUGAGACUGACUGCCUCUCCUCUAUGAAGAGAUGCCAGUGACAGCCAGGACUGGUGUAGGCUCUAUUGAGCAUCACAGUCAUAUGUGAGUGCCCAAGAGAAGCUAUUCACUUUCUCAGCUUCAAUACAACAUCUAUCCCAGAUCCCUCCCACAGAUGUGCAGUGAAGGAGAAAAACCCUGAGACCCUAGAGGGCAGAGACACAAGCAGCUGGACAUCGAGAGGAACACACUGGCAGAAGAGCACACCGACAGGCACUGGCAGAUGCCGUCAGGCCAUGGACCAGUGGAACAACAUGGAGUUUGGCCAGGGCGGUCAGAUGAGAGCCCCGCUGCUAGGCUGCCCGACUCCAGGGUGAAACCACCACCUUCCCACUCCAUCCCCCUUCUGGCUUCCCCUUCCACCUCACUGAGAGCUACCAUCACUCAAUAAAACAUUUUGCACCCAUCCUCCAAGCCCAAGUGUGAUCCAAGUACACCAAGGCAAGAAGCCGGGAUAUAGAAAGCCCUCUGUCCUUGUGAUAAGGCAGAGGGGUCGAAUUGAGCUGAUUAAACCAAGCUGCCUACAGAUGGUGAAAGUAAAAGGGCACACUGUAACAUGCCCACUGGGGCUUCAGGAUCUGUAAACAUUCACCCUAGACGCUGCGAUGGUGUCGGAGCCCACACUCCCCAUGAUCUGCCCACCUACUCUACCUGCUUUCCCUAGGGGUUUUGAGCAGUGGGGCACUGAAGAAGCGAGCCGCAUCUCCAUCGCAUGCCCUGGAGGGGGACAAGGAAACUUUUUCCAUUUCGGUAUGGAAUGCUGAGAUGGUAGGAAAGACAGGGGCCCGGUAGGGAUGUUGACCUGCAAGUUGGAGGAGGCCAUUUCAACAAAUACAGUAUGCACAAGCAUUAUGAGGGAUGCAGAUGUGACUGGGAUCGUAUGAAGCCUGUUUCUGAGAUUCUGGUAAGAUCAGCUCAAAGCCCUCAUCCAAGCCCCAUGGAGAGUUGGUUGCCUCCCUAAGAUUUCUGUGGUUUCCCAAGGAUUUUGCCUUCUCUGAUGCCUUUGGCCCCAGCAGCCUAUCUUAACAGAAUACUUGCCAUCCACUUUGUGUCAUUUAGGUCUUUAUUUCUACCCUAGUGUUGAUAAAA